rnacentral:rRNA from 1 species
UACGAGUGGUGCAAGCAUUAUUCGGAAUCAUUGGGCGUAAAGGGCGCGUAGGUGGCAUAGAAAGUUUGAUGUGAAAGCUCAGGGCUUAACCCUGAAAUGGCAUUGAAUACUGCUGUGCUGGAGGUUUGGAGGGGGGACUGGAAUUCUUGGUGUAGCAGUGAAAUGCGUAGAUAUCAAGAGGAACACCAGUGGCGAAGGCGAGUCCCUGGACCACACCUGACACUGAGGCACGAAAGCCGGGGGAGCAAACAGG